rnacentral:rRNA from 1 species
UACGUAGGGUGCAAGCGUUAAUCGGAAUUACUGGGCGUAAAGCGUGCGCAGGCGGUUCGGAAAGAAAAGAUGUGAAAUCCCAGGGCUUAACCUUGGAACUGCAUUUUUUAACUACCGGGCUAGAGUGUGUCAGAGGGGGGGUGGAAUUCCACGUGUAGCAGUGAAAUGCGUAGAGAUGUGGAGGAACACCAGUGGCGAAGGCGGCUCACUGGUCCGAUACUGACGCUGAGGUGCGAAAGCGUGGGGAGCAAACAGG